rnacentral:rRNA from 1 species
AGCGAACGCUGGCGGCAGGCUUAACACAUGCAAGUCGAGCGGGCACUUUCGGGUGUCAGCGGCGGACGGGUGAGUAACGCGUGGGAACGUGCCCUCGGGUUCGGAAUAACACAGGGAAACUUGAGCUAAUACCGGAUACGCCCGUUUGGGGAAAGGCUUGCUGCCGGAGGAUCGGCCCGCGUCUGAUUAGCUAGUUGGUGAGGUAACGGCUCACCAAGGCGACGAUCAGUAGCUGGUCUGAGAGGAUGAUCAGCCACACUGGGACUGAGACACGGCCCAGACUCCUACGGGAGGCAGCAGUGGGGAAUAUUGGACAAUGGGCGCAAGCCUGAUCCAGCCAUGCCGCGUGAGUGAUGAAGGCCUUAGGGUUGUAAAGCUCUUUUAUCCGGGACGAUAAUGACGGUACCGGAGGAAUAAGCCCCGGCUAACUUCGUG